UACGUAGGGUGCGAGCGUUGUCCGGAAUUAUUGGGCGUAAAGAGCUUGUAGGCGGUCUGUCGCGUCUGCUGUGAAAAUCCGGGGCUCAACCCCGGACUUGCAGUGGGUACGGGCAGACUAGAGUGUGGUAGGGGAGACUGGAAUUCCUGGUGUAGCGGUGAAAUGCGCAGAUAUCAGGAGGAACACCGAUGGCGAAGGCAGGUCUCUGGGCCACUACUGACGCUGAGGCGCGAAAGCGUGGGGGAGCGAACAGG
rnacentral:rRNA from 1 species